rnacentral:rRNA from 1 species
AGUAAAUAGAUACCCUGGUAGUCCACGCCGUAAACGAUGAGUACUAGGUGUAGGAGGUAUCGACUCCUUCUGUGCCGCAGUUAAACACAAUAAGUACUCCGCCUGGGAAGUACGGUCGCAAGAUUAAAACUCAAAGGAAUUGACGGGGGCCCGCACAAGCAGCGGAGCAUGUGGUUUAAUUCGAAGCAACGCGAAGAACCUUACCUAGACUUGACAUCUCCUGAAUAGUGUAGAGAUACAUGAAGCCCUUCGGGUCGAGGAAGACAGGUGGUGGCAUGGUUGUCGUCAGCUCGUGUCGUGAGAUGUUGGGUUAAGU